rnacentral:lncRNA from 1 species
CGGAAGUAAACAUAAUGUGGGAGGACAAUUGUUUUAGAAUAUUUAUGAACUUUACAAAAGAAAUGCAUACGCAAAGGAACAUGCAUUAACAAAACAUGUAAAUGUAAAAAAUACGACGUACUUAUUAGAAGCAAGUGUCACCUUCGGCCAGAGUAACAAAAUAGAAUUCACGGAUAUACAAUUAAGCAAAUAUUUAAUUUCAAUUGUUCGCUUAUUCACUUUAUCAUCGGCCAUCUAUUUUGUAAUAAUAACAAUUUGUAUAACUAAAAAUAAAGAUUUUGAUAAAUGUUUGUUUAAAUUUAACCCAUAUGAUCCCAAAACGUAUGAUCAGCUGGACCGUACGCGUAUACUCAUACGGUCCGACCGUACGCGUAUGGUCGGACCGUACGAGUAUACAUAUACGGUCCGGACCGUACGCGUACGGUCCAAAUACUCAUAUGGUCUGGAACAUAUACAACAUUAUAAGA